ACUACGGGUGGCAGCAGUGAGGAAUAUUGGUCAAUGGGCGGGAGCCUGAACCAGCCAAGCCGCGGGAGGGAAGAAGGUACAGCGUAUCGUAAACCUCUUUUGUCAGGGAACAAAGGCGGGGACUAGUCCCCGGAUGAGGGUACCUGAAGAAAAAGCAUCGGCCAACUCCGUGCCAGCAGCCGCGGUAAUACGGAGGAUGCGAGCGUUAUCCGGAUUUAUUGGGUUUAAAGGGUGCGCAGGCGGCCUGUUAAGUCAGCGGGAAAAGCCCGGGGCUCAACCCCGGCGAGCCGUUGAAACUGGCGGGCUGGAGUUGGAGAGAAGUACGUGGAAUGCGCGGUGUAGCGGUGAAAUGCUUAGAUAUCGCGCAGAACCCCGAUUGCGAAGGCAGCGUACCGGCUCCACACUGACGCUGAGGCACGAAAGCGUGGGUAUCGAACAGGAUUAGAUACCCGAGUAGUC
rnacentral:rRNA from 1 species